rnacentral:lncRNA from 1 species
AUCAUGAGGGUCACAAGGAGAGAAUGAAGAAGGCAAGUUUGUCAACCUGUCGGCCGAUGAAUGAUGUGUGGGAUUGAACUACACAGCCAAGGUCCCAGAAAACCUACCUUUCGGUCCCUAAGUCCAGGAAAACUCAACAUGCCUCAGAAUUCUUACAGAAUGUUAAGUCUGCAGCAAGCUUGCCCAACAUUAAAUGCCCUCGUCAGUUCUUAGACACCUCCAAACUGUGAACAAGACGACCCUUGUUCUGGAAAAUCUAUCGGCUCUUGCCAACACACACACACAUACAAAAACACAACUGUUGGGCAAAUAAGUCUUUCCAGAGAAAAUAAGAUUCCUUUCCAAUUCAGUCAACUGUACUGAGCUGGAAAAGGGGGGGAAAAGUUAUUUUUCCAGGAUGAAGAGAAAACAAGAUCUCUCCUUGUUUACCCGGUAAAGCUCAUUUCAAAAGAAGGUCAGUUUAAUGCCUUCAUUAAAAAAAAAAUUCUUGAGUGUUGUUUAUCAGAAGACACUGGGGCCCUUUCAGGCUGAGAACCACACAUUGGAGCUUUGUGCUUUCCUCUCUGACCUGAGAGGUACACAGCAUGACUGAAGUCCCUGCUGCUCUAGAGAUGCCCAAAGUGUCAGAGUAGGGGCGACAGAGGGUGCAGAGUCCAGUGGUGAGGAGUCUUUGCAAGCGGUAAGCUUCCCCAUUCUCUGUUCUUGUCCCUGAGUGGAUAAGAGGAAACAAAUGGAACACAGCCAACCCUCCACCUUCACUUCCUCUGCAUUUCUUCCACUCGG